UUUAGGAAUAUACUUUUUGAACAAGGGCUUUGGUUUCAAAAGUUCUUCAGAUUCAACUGUAGGGACUGGCUUUUUCACAGUAAAUGGUUUUGGAAUAGGUUUAAGAAUUGGAAUUGGCUUAACAAUGGGAACUAGCUUAGGUUUAAGAAUAGGAAUUGGCUUAACAAUGGGAACUAUCUUUGGUAGAGGCUUAACAACUGGAAUAUAAAUAGGCUUAACAACUGGAAUUACCUUUGGUAUUGCCUUAAUUUUGGGAAUAGGUUUUGGGAAAAGACCUUUGAAUUUUACUUCUUCACUGGGAAUUGGCUUUAUGUCUGGAAUUGGUUUUGGUGUGGGCUUAAUGGAAAUUGAUUUUGGUACAGGCUUAUUAAAAACUGGAAUAGGAAUAGGUUUAAUAACAGGAACUGGCUUUGGAAUAGGUUUGAUAACAGGAAUUGGUUUUAGAAUAGGUUUAAUAACAGGAAUUGGCUUUAGAAUAGGUUUAACAACAGGAACUGGCUUUGGAAUAGGUUUAAUAACAGGAAUUGGCUUUAGAAUAGGUUUAACAAAUGGAAUUGGUUUAGUAAACAAUCCUUUGAAUUUUGAUUCUUCAUCAUGGCCUUCUGCAUUAUUCCCAUACUUGUUCACUUCAUUGCCUACAUAAGAAAUGC
rnacentral:lncRNA from 1 species